CGGCUGCGCAUGCGGGCUGCGGCCGCUCCCGGCGGCACCGGCGGCGGGGCGCGAUGGCGGCUGCGGUGGGGCUCCCGUCCGCGCCGGGCUCCCCCGCCGUGAGCGAGCUUUGCCAGAACAGGCGCGACAUCUUCCUGGAGGCUUCGCGGCUGCUCCUUACCUACGCUGACAACAUCCUCCGGAAUCCUUAUGAAGAAAAAUACAGGUUAAUUCGGAUUGGAAAUCCAGCAUUUUCCACGAGGCUGUUGCCUGUCAGAGGAGCAGUUGAAUGUUUAUUUGAGAUGGGAUUUCAAGAGGAAGAAACUCACCUGGUUUUCCCUAAGGAAGCUUCAAUUGAGCAGCUACGUAGAAUCAGAGACUUAAUUGCUGGAGAGAGGAGUAGCAGACUGAAUGAGUCAAAUCAAAUCCAUAGAUCAGGAUCCUCUGAAACUGUGGCCAGCACCCAGACAGUUGCACAUCAGCCUUCAAGACCUGCUGACUCUGUUCUUGCCCCUGCCCAUCAGCAGCCAGAAACAUCACUUGUGCAAUCUCUUGAAAUGGCUGCAAAUAUCUUGAAAACACUUCAAACAAAAUUUGAGCAUCUUGUAUUGAUGUAUGAGAAUCCCUCUAUUCAGCAGAAAGCACUAGCUUCAAUUCCCCUUCAGCAAUUGAAAAAGAAGGCUCAGAAAAAGCUAGCACAAGCUACAAGACUGGACAAAGGUGCACAUGUGAAUGAAGAGGAUUUCUUAUUGUUGGAGCUCUUGGACUGGUUUAAGAAUAACUUUUUUCGCUGGGUAAAUAAUCUUCCUUGCAGCAGGUGUGGUGGGCAGACAGAGCCUAAAAGUGACUACCUGUUGCCUGUUGACGAUGAGCUAAGGUGGAAUGCCAGUCGAGUGGAAAAUCAUUAUUGCAACCAGUGUCAGUUGUGUAAUAGAUUCCCAAGGUAUAACCACCCGGAAAAACUUCUGGAAACCAGAUGUGGACGCUGUGGCGAGUGGGCUAACUGUUUUACACUAUGUUGCAGAGCUGUAGGGUUUGAAGCUAGAUACGUCUGGGACUGUACAGAUCAUGUAUGGACCGAAGUAUAUUCUUCAUCUCAGAAAAGAUGGCUUCACUGUGAUCCCUGUGAAAAUGUCUGUGAUAAGCCUCUUCUCUAUGAAACUGGGUGGGGAAAGAAGCUUUCCUACAUAUUUGCAUUCUCCAAAGAUGAGGUGGUUGAUGUCACCUGGAGAUACAGCUGUAAACAUGAAGAAAUACUCUCUAGAAGGACAGCACUCAGUGAAGCUACACUACGUGAAACAAUUAACGCACUGAAUAGAACGAGACAACAAUCUUUGUCAGAAAAUAGAAGAAAAGAGCUCUUAGAAAGAACAAUUGUGGAGCUUGUUGAAUUUAUUUCUCCUAAAACGCCUAAACCCGGAGAAUACGGUGGAAGGACAUCAGGUUCGAUGGCUUGGCGAGUAGCCAGAGGUGAAAUUGGUCCAGAGAAAAGAAAAGAAGUAAUUUUUGUUCCCUCUGAAAAAGAGAAGACAUCUAAGCUCUUCUACCUCAUCUACAAUGUAGUAGAGGAUAGUUAUACACGGGUUUCCAGUAAUAAUGAAAAAAUAAAUGGCUGGGAAGCAGGUGUUUGGAAGGCUGAGUCUAUCUGGAGAAAGAUUGAAACAGAUUGGAAAAUGCUGAAGGAAGAAAUUGUCAUCCUAAAUAUUACAGUUUCACCUGCAAGGCAAAAACCUGUCUGUUACCUGGAUUAUCGUAUACCCUGGCCAGAAUCAUUCCAAUCUGUCAGGACACUGAGCAGCCAAAGAAUCAUAUUCUCUAAAUCUAAGAAGAGAACUGAUGCCUGUUUAUUUAGCCCGAAAAGAGGGGUCAUCCUCUGCUUCCAUCAGCUGGAAGUUUGAGUGCAAGUCAGUCAGUCUAAAAAUAGAUAACAUUUCAGUGAGGACAAGCAGUCAGACAUUUCAGAGUGGAAGAGUAAAGUGGAGGCUUUGCUCUCCAACAGCGGAAAUUGAACUGAUAGGAGAUAAAAAUCUUUGCUCCUAUUCAGAUUUUUCUGGUGCCACAGAAGUUAUGUUGGAAGCAAUUCUAGAUGGAGGGGAUGGUGAAGCUGCAUGGCAACACACACAGCUAUUUAGAGAGAGCUUAACAGGAUGUGGAGAAAAUUGCUUAGAGAUAAUUAUAAAACUCAGUGACCUCUGAAAACCUGAAAUGAAGAAAUGUCCUUUGGAUUCCUUGAAGACCUUAUACCAUGGAUACAACAUAUGAAGGUUUGGUCGGCUGUUCUUGUUCAUCCUCCUGGCAGAUACUUCCUGUUUCACUGCUCCCAUUUAACCAACUUGAAACUGCACUUGAAACAUCCAUUUAACCAACUUGAAUAGGUAAAGAUCACAAUGAAAACCUCUUCGCUUUAAAACCAAACACCAGAAUUAAGGGAUUGAACCAUUAAAUACCUUUUUCUUAAACUUUAUAAUGAAAAGGAAACAGUUUUUAGGAAGCAAAAUAUGAUCACAGAGCAAUUGUAAUAUAUUGUAAUUUGGAGGUUUGGGGUUGGCUUGCUGCGGUAUUUUUCUUUAGUUUCUGGGGAGUUUUGUGUUUGGGGUUUUUUUUAUAUAUAAUCUCCUUGGAAAAACAAUUUGAUUUCAAUUUUCCAAUUACAGCAGAUGCUUGUGAUGAUUUUAAGAUAUUUUAAAGAAUAAUAGAAGUCUUAGACAUUUUAAAAAUAUUAAUUUGUGUAAUAACCAUAGGAGCUGAAAUUAAACUAAAUUUUGAAGCAAUCUUUAAAUGAUCUUAUAUACCUUAUAUACUUAUAUACCUUUAUGUAAGUAUUAAAGUUGCAUUUAAUACCUAGAAAUGUUUGGAAAUAUAAUGAUAUGCUAGGAAAAUAAUUUUGCAAGAAGUGUUCAUUAUGUACCUAAGAAUGUCGUAGUCUGUGAUAUGAAAUUGAGACUAAAACUAUCUGAAUUUCUUUCUAUAAAAAUAGAUUAUUCAUUAUAAAUACUUUUUAAUGAUAUAAAUUCAGAUCUGCCUACUUUUUAAAAGAUUUAUUAAGCAUGUAGGUUGAAAUCACUUUUCAAGCUAUUGUCUUGAGUUACUUUGAAUAUUAUUCCCAAAUUUGAUGUAAAACUAUAUGCAAUUUUUCUGUUUGUUACUGCAGUGUUUAAAUUUCUUUUCGUUGAGUCUAAUAAAAACUGCCACCCAGAUGUCAGUGCUGUGAAUAAAGUAUGGAAUGAAUGUUCA